rnacentral:rRNA from 1 species
UACGGAGGGAGCUAGCGUUGUUCGGAAUUACUGGGCGUAAAGCGCACGUAGGCGGCUUUACAAGUCAGAGGUGAAAGCCUGGAGCUCAACUCCAGAAUUGCCUUUGAGACUGUAUCGCUUGAACACGGGAGAGGUGAGUGGAAUUCCGAGUGUAGAGGUGAAAUUCGUAGAUAUUCGGAAGAACAACCAGUCGGCGGAAGGCGGAGCUCGAC